rnacentral:tRNA from 1 species
UGGGAAUGUAGCUUAGUCUGGAUAGAGUGUUGGCCUGUCACGUCAAAGGUCGCGGGUUCAAAUCCCGUCUUUCCCG